rnacentral:rRNA from 1 species
GACGGAGGGUGCUAGCGUUGUUCGGAAUCACUGGGCGUAAAGGGCGCGUAGGCGGCCUUGCAAGUCGGUUGGUGAAAGCCCGGGGCUCAACCCCGGAGGUGCGGCCGAGACUGCAGGGCUGGAGGGCCGGAAGAGGAGGGUGGAAUACCCAGUGUAGAGGUGAAAUUCGUAGAUAUUGGGUGGAACACCGGUGGCGAAAGCGGCUCUCUGGUCCGGACCUGACGCUGAGGCGCGAAAG